rnacentral:rRNA from 1 species
CAGUAGCCGCGGUAAUACGUAGGUGGCAAGCGUUGUCCGGAAUUAUUGGGCGUAAAGGGCUCGCAGGCGGUUUCUUAAGUCUGAUGUGAAAGCCCCCGGCUCAACCGGGGAGGGUCAUUGGAAACUGGGAAACUUGAGUGCAGAAGAGGAGAGUGGAAUUCCACGUGUAGCGGUGAAAUGCGUAGAGAUGUGGAGGAACACCAUUGGCGAAGGCAACUCUCUGGUCUGUAACUGACGCUGAGGAGCGAAAGCGUGGGGAGCGAACAGGAUUAGAUACCCCAGUAGUCCCUGUCUCUUAUAC